rnacentral:rRNA from 1 species
UACAGAGGGUGCGAGCGUUGUCCGGAAUCACUGGGCGUAAAGGGCGCGUAGGUGGCCCCGCAAGUCUGUGGUGAAAGCUCGAUGCUCAACAUCGAGUCGGCCACGGAGACUGCGAGGCUGGAGCACUGUAGAGGCUCAUGGAAUUCCGGGUGUAGCGGUGGAAUGCGUAGAGAUCCGGAAGAACACCGGUGGCGAAGGCGGUGAGCUGGGCAGUUGCUGACACUGAGGCGCGACAGCGUGGGGAGCAAACAGG